GUGGGGAAUUUUGGACAAUGGGCGCAAGCCUGAUCCAGCAAUGCCGCGUGCAGGAAGAAGGCCUUCGGGUUGUAAACUGCUUUUGUACGGAACGAAACGGUCCGGGUUAAUACCCUGGGCUAAUGACGGUACCGUAAGAAUAAGCACCGGCUAACUACGUGCCAGCAGCCGCGGUAAUACGUAGGGUGCAAGCGGUAAUCGGAAUUACUGGGCGUAAAGCGUGCGCAGGCGGUGUUGUAAGACAGGCGUGAAAUCCCCGGGCUCAACCUGGGAAUUGCGCUUGUGACUGCAAGGCUGGAGUGCGGCAGAGGGGGAUGGAAUUCCGCGUGUAGCAGUGAAAUGCGUAGAUAUGCGGAGGAACACCGAUGGCGAAGGCAAUCCCCUGGGCCUGCACUGACGCUCAUGCACGAAAGCGUGGGGAGCAAACAGGAUUAGAAACCCGAGUAGUCC
rnacentral:rRNA from 1 species